GAUGAACGCUAGCUACAGGCUUAACACAUGCAAGUCGCGGGGCAGCAUGGGGGUUGCUUGCAAUCCCCGAUGGCGACCGGCGCACGGGUGAGUAACGCGUAUCCAACCUGCCCUUCACCACGGGAUAACCCGGCGAAAGUCGGACUAAUACCGUAUGUUGUCCAUUGACGGCAUCCGAUUUGGACGAAAGGCUUGGCGGUGAGGGAUGGGGAUGCGUCCGAUUAGCCAGACGGCGGGGUAACGGCCCACCGUGGCUACGAUCGGUAGGGGUUCUGAGAGGAAGGUCCCCCACACUGGAACUGAGACACGGUCCAGACUCCUACGGGAGGCAGCAGUGAGGAAUAUUGGUCAAUGGGCGUAAGCCUGAACCAGCCAAGUAGCGUGCAGGAUGACGGCCCUAUGGGUUGUAAACUGCUUUUAUGCGGGAUAAAGUGGCCCACGUGUGGGCUUUUGCAGGUACCGCAUGAAUAAGGACCGGCUAAUUCCGUG
rnacentral:rRNA from 1 species